rnacentral:rRNA from 1 species
UGGGGAAUUUUGGACAAUGGGCGAAAGCCUGAUCCAGCAAUGCCGCGUGUGUGAAGAAGGCCUUCGGGUUGUAAAGCACUUUUGUCCGGAAAGAAAUCCUUGGCUCUAAUACAGUCGGGGGAUGACGGUACCGGAAGAAUAAGCACCGGCUAACUACGUGCCAGCAGCCGCGGUAAUACGUAGGGUGCAAGCGUUAAUCGGAAUUACUGGGCGUAAAGCGUGCGCAGGCGGUUUGCUAAGACCGAUGUGAAGUCCCCGGGCUCAACCUGGGAACUGCAUUGGUGACUGGCAGGCUAGAGUAUGGCAGAGGGGGGUAGAAUUCCACGUGUAGCAGUGAAAUGCGUAGAGAUGUGGAGGAAUACCGAUGGCGAAGGCAGCCCCCUGGGCCAAUACUGACGCUCAUGCACGAAAGCGUGGGGAGCAAACAGGAUUAGAUACCCUGGUAGUCCACGCCCUAAACGAUGUCAACUAGUUGUUGGGGAUUCAUUUCCUUAGUAACGUAGCUAACGCGUGAAGUUGACCGCCUGGGGAGUACGGUCGCAAGAUUAAAACUUAAAUGAAUUGAC